UUUAACGGCCGCGGUAUCUUAACCGUGCGAAGGUAGCGCAAUCACUUGUUUCUUAAAUGGAGACCUGUAUGAAUGGCAUUACGAGGGCCGAACUGUCUCCUUCCCCCAGUCAAUGAAAUUGAUCUCCCCGUGCAGAAGCGGGGAUAAAAACAUAAGACGAGAAGACCCUUUGGAGCUUGAGACUAUAGACAGACCAUGCUCAUAAAACCAAACAAAAGGUUACAAGCCAAUUGGAUUAACACUGCUCUAAUGUCUUUGGUUGGGGCGACCGAGGGGAAACAAAAAACCCCCAUGUGGACCAGGAGAACUUUUCUCCUACAACCCAGAUCAACAGAUCUAAGUACCAGAAAUUCUGACCAGAGAGAUCCGGCAAAGCCGAUCAACGGACCCAGUUACCCUAGGGAUAACAGCGCAAUCCCCUUUUAGAGCCCAUAUCGACAAGGGGGUUUACGACCUCGAUGUUGGAUCAGGACAUCCUAAUGGUGCAGCCGCUAUUAAGGGUUCGUUUGUUCAACGAUUA
rnacentral:rRNA from 1 species